GGACAUUUCAGGAGACAGGCUGACAUGCCCAGGGAUGUGGUGAACGUGGUGUUUGUAGACCUGUCAGGCUGGCGGAUCCAGUGAGCUGCAGAGUCGGAGGACAAUAUUCUCCACCUGACCCAAUGCCAUGGGGUGAACCUGGAAGGUGCCUGUGAAGCCUUCCUGGCAUGCUCCACCUGCCAUGUGCAUGUGAGCGAAGACCUGGACCUUCUGCCUCCUCCCGAAGAGAGGGAAGACAGCAUGCUAGACAUGGCCUCCCUCCUCCAGGAGAACUCCCUGCUGGGCUGGCAGAUCGUGCUGAUGCUGGAGCUGGAAGGGGCAGAAUUCAGUCUGCCCUAGAACGCCAGGAACUUCUACGUGGACUGCCACAUCCCCAGGCCCCACU
rnacentral:lncRNA from 1 species